UACGAAGGGGGCUAGCGUUGCUCGGAAUCACUGGGCGUAAAGGGUGCGUAGGCGGGUCUUUAAGUCAGGGGUGAAAUCCUGGAGCUCAACUCCAGAACUGCCUUUGAUACUGAAGAUCUUGAGUUCGGGAGAGGUGAGUGGAACUGCGAGUGUAGAGGUGAAAUUCGUAGAUAUUCGCAGGAACACCAGUGGCGAAGGCGAGUCCCUGGACAACACCUGACACUGAGGCACGAAAGCUAGGGGAGCAAACAGG
rnacentral:rRNA from 1 species